UCCUACAUGUUCUAGUGGUUAGGAUUCCUGGCUUUCACCCAGGCGGCCCGGGUUACAUUCCCGGUGUAGGAA
rnacentral:tRNA from 1 species